ensembl:lncRNA
AUGUUAACGUCUUUGGAUUUUAUUUUCCAGUUUUUUGUCUACAGGAAAGAAAUUGACUCAGUGAAGUGCUUUUCCGUUUUUAUGACGUGCAGGAUGGCUACAUCCUCAUUGAUGGUCAGGACAUCGCUAAGGCAUGAGGAGCUGCUGGCCAUGGGGGGACUGUACACAGCCAUGUGGUUGAAACAGCAGCAAACCCCAGAGUCAGAGGUCUCUAAAGGUGAACAACCACAGGAGCCACAGCAGAGUUGCUGAAGAUGAUGGAGGAGUGAUGAGGAAUGGAGAUGUGUGAAAUCAAUCAGGAAAAUGGUAAAGAGCCCAUUGAGCUCCAAAGUUCAUCUCAGACACAGGGGCACCAGACUGCACAAAAGUAACGAACUACAAAGAGUGUUUCUCCGGGAAAGGUCUCAUUAAAAUCAACCAAUCACUGAGUACCUCUCAAUAUGCUAAAGGGUUAGUUCACCCUAAAAUGAAAAUGGUCCUCAUUUACUACCCUCGUGUUGUUCUAAACUUGUAUGACUUCUUUCUUCUGUACUGUAUUUUGAUGAGCGUUGGUAACCAAUGGCCCCCACUGAUUUUCACUGAAUGGACAAAAACACUAGGACAUUUCUCAAAAUAUCUUCUUUUGUGUCCACGCAGAAGAAAGUCAAACAAGUAAAUAAUGUCAGAUUUUCUCUUUAAUGCUUAGGAAAAAACAUUAGUUUUAAAAUGCUGAUGACUAUAAUCAGUCAUUUCUGUUACAUUGUUUUAAUAUAUAUAGAUUACAUGUAUCACUUCCGUUGUUUACACUUCUAUCCAUCCCUGUAUACUGAGGAGAUGUGGAAGUACCUGGAUCAUCUACAGAUGGGAAUUGUAGGUAACAUGCUCAGGGUCAUGUUUCUUUCAUUAUAAUGCUGGCACGAACAUUUCUAGUCACACUUCAUAUUUCAGUGUUCAUGUUACUCUGCAUUUACAUACUGUAAGUACAUAUUAAAACUAAUGUACUUUCCUUGUUCAGUAAGUUUGCUUUGUUGUUAUCUAUAGUAUUUAAAUACAGUAACAUGUAAUAUGUGUAACAUGUACACUGUGAAAUAUACUGUUCCCAAUUUCUUCCUCCAAAAACAUGAUUUCAAAAAAAACAUCAGACCCCUUUAAGCUGAGCCAAAAAUGUUCACUAAAGUGUGGAUGCUUUACCAAACCACAUAAACUAUCUGUCCCCCUUUUGUGCCCUAUUUUGUGCGCAUUAAUAACUUGAGAUUCAAAAACUGAACAUGGAAAAUACUUGUGUACAUUAAACCAGCAUAAUACUAGUGUACAUUAAACCAGGAAUUUAGUUAUGAACUAAUUUUAAAAGAUAAACUGCUUUUCAAAAGGUGAUGAUAUUAAAGGGAUUUCUGCAGCCUUUGGAUAAUCUCAUAUUGUGCUUUUUGAAGAGCGGCUGCUGCCUUUCAUGGAAGCAUUAUCUGUGUUUUUUUUUUUUGUUUGUUUGUUUGUUUGUUUUGUUUUUUUGUGAAAUGUGCACAAGUUGGUCAAGUAUUUCAUUUUAAAACAAAACUUAAAAAAUAAAGUCUAAAUAAAUACAACCCUGACUAUGUACAAAAGUUAAUUUAUUUAGAGUAUUUACAUCUUUUCACUCCAGCUAUGUUUUAACACAAACAAUAACAUGUAUAAUCCUUUUAGACCAUUAAAAUUCAUUCAUUAAGUAGAACAUGAUAGAAAUAUUUACAGGAUAACACAUUUCUGAACUAUACAAAACUUGGAGUUAAUAAUUGACUACAAUGCACUGAAGUUUGAUGGGGCUUUGGCCCACUUACAUCAGUAUUGUGAGAAAAGCAUGAAGAAAUCGAUGGCAGUCCAUGUGAGUGUUUAAAAGUUUGGGGUAAGUGUUUUUUUUUAUGACGUAAGGACAUUAAAUUGAUCAGAAGUGACAGUAAAGACAUUUAUAAUGUUUAAAAGAUUUCUAUUUUAAAUAAACACUGUUCUUUUGAACUUUCUAUUCAUCAAAGAACCCUGAAAAAAAAGCAUCAAUGUUUCCACAAAAAUAUUAAGCAGCACAUCUGUUUUCAACUUUGAUACAAAAUAAAUGGUUCUAUAGCACCAAAUCAGGAAAUAAGAAUGAAUUCUGAAGGAUAAACUUUGAUUUUAAAAAGGAUUAAAAUAUUUUUAAAUAGCAACAUUAUUUAAACAUUUUAAUAUUUCCAAAUAUAGCUGUUUCUACUGCAUUUUUGAUCAUAUACAUGCAGCCAUAAUAUAAGAGACUAAUUUCAAAAGCAUUUUUAAAAAAAUCCUACUAACCCCAAACUUUUGAAUGAUAGUGUAUAUUUCUGACCAAGUAGAUACCCUGCGGAAAAAUUAUAUCCUACUGCCUGUAAUUUUUGAAGAAUGUGUAUGAAUUCCCACAGGAGCUGGAGUGGGGCCUGAAAUACCUUCUUGUCACUGUCAACAUUAUCAGUGGCUGGCGUUUAAAUGUUUGCGGAGAUAAGGGAAUACUGCGGACAGAGUGGUUAAUACAGGGUGGAUAAGAGGUCUGACUUAAAUACAUGCUUGCAGAGCCCAGUGUCUGCUAGGGUCCAGACGUGGUGAGGGAACAUUUCUCAUUACUAAAUCAUUCUGGACCGCCCUGUCCCUUACUGAGCUGAAGGAGGGACAAGGAGAUUUGUCCUGAAAUGUUCAAGUGAGUGUAAGGUGUGUUUCAGAGUGGCCUUGUCACCAUUGUUCAGUUCCAGGCGCGCCCUGUGCGAUGACCCACGGAAGAGCACUCAGGUAAAGGAGCGUGGAUGCCCCUGCGCUGAACCCCCACGGCAGGCAGAGAGAGGAGAAGUUUG